rnacentral:rRNA from 1 species
ACACACGCAUCCGCCCGGGUACUACGAGCACAGCUUAAAACCCAAAGGACUUGGCGGUGUCUCAGACCCACCUAGAGGAGCCUGUUCUAGAACCGAUAACCCCCGUUAAACCUCACCACUCCUUGUUUUCCCCGCCUAUAUACCGCCGUCGUCAGCUUACCCUGUGAAGGUCUAAUAGUAAGCAAAAUGGGCCCGCCCAAAAACGUCAGGUCGAGGUGUAGCGUACGAAGUGGAAAGAAAUGGGCUACAUUUUCUAUAUACAGAAUAUUACGAACGGUGCAUUGAAAUCAUGCACCAGAAGGUGGAUUUAGUAGUAAAAAGCAAACAGAGUGUCCCUUUGAACUAGGCUCUGAGACGCGCACACACCGCCCGUCACUCUCCCCAACACCCCACUCAAACGAUAUAUAAUAAAUCAACUGUAAACACGGGGAGGCAAGUCGUAACAUGGUAAGUGUACCGGAAGGUGCACUUGGAAUAAU